rnacentral:rRNA from 1 species
CAGUAGCCACGGGAAUACAGAGGGUGCGAGCGUUAAUCGGAUUUACUGGGCGUAAAGCGUGCGUAGGCGGCUAAUUGAGUCGGAUGUGAAAUCCCCGAGCUUAACUUGGGAAUUGCAUUCGAUACUGGUUAGCUAGAGUGUGGGAGAGGAUGGUAGAAUUCCAGGUGUAGCGGUGAAAUGCGUAGAGAUCUGGAGGAAUACCGAUGGCGAAGGCAGCCAUCUGGCCUAACACUGACGCUGAGGUACGAAAGCAUGGGGAGCAAACAGGGUUAGAUACCCCAGUAGUCCCUGUCUCUUAUAC